rnacentral:rRNA from 1 species
UGGGGAAUCUUGCACAAUGGGGGAAACCCUGAUGCAGCGACGCCGCGUGAGCGAUGAAGCCCUUCGGGGUGUAAAGCUCUUUCGGCAGGGAAGAAUACAUGACGGUACCUGCAGAAGCAGCUGCGGCUAACUACGUGCCAGCAGCCGCGGUAAUACGUAGGCAGCGAGCGUUGUUCGGAGUUACUGGGCGUAAAGGGUGUGUAGGCGGUCCCCUAAGUUUGGUGUGAAAUCUCCCGGCUUAACCGGGAGGGUGCGCCGAAAACUGGGGGGCUAGAGUGCGGGAUGGGAGAGUGGAAUUCCUGGUGUAGCGGUGAAAUGCGUAGAUAUCAGGAGGAACACCGGUGGUGUAGACGGCUCUCUGGACCGUAACUGACGCUGAGACACGAAAGCGUGGGUAGCAAACAGGAUUAGAUACCCCUGUAGUCC